rnacentral:rRNA from 1 species
UACAGAGGGGGCAAGCGUUAUUCGGAAUUAUUGGGCGUAAAGGGCGCGUAGGCGGCUUGGCAAGUGGAUGGUGAAAUCCCUCGGCUUAACCGAGGAACUGCCGUCCGAACUGCUUCGCUUGAGACCGGGAGAGGUGAGUGGAAUUCCCAGUGUAGCGGUGAAAUGCGUAGAUAUUGGGAGGAACACCAGUGGCGAAGGCGGCUCACUGGACCGGUACUGACGCUGAUGCGCGAAAGCGUGGGGAGCAAACGGG